rnacentral:rRNA from 1 species
GCGACGUGAGUCUGUUAUACACCUGCGUAGAGGACUGUAGGUUUAGUAGGUGGCCGAUCUUAAUUCGAAACGGUUUUCUCUGCUGCUUCUUCAAACGGUCCCCGGAGGGUGACGAAGCGGCGCGGCUGGAAGAGAACACCGUAGCGGGCAGAGUCCACGAAAGUACCCAGGACCACAACGCGGUCACCAACCACCCCUAGGACACCGCAUAGGCCCUAGGCCUGUGGCCGGUUCCGGCGCACUCCGAAGUUCCUGAGAACCACUAGAAAGUCGACUAGGUCAAGUGAACUCAAAACAACCCCCAGUCCGUCCGCCAGAAUGGGGAUUGUCCCGGUGCUCCCUCCUCCAGUAUCGAAAACUGCCCUAGGGUCUAGGACAAAGACUCCCCGCCGCCUAUUCGUCGGCAGAGGUCCUCGUAGGCCUACACCUGCUGUACGUCGAUUCCACGCGAAACGCUCGCCGGUUCGAAGCACUGUAACUCCAGUGAUGACCAAUAGAAGUCUCGGUGGCGCAACUAGGUGUACACCAGCAAUGAGUGAAGCUGCCUCCGGUCCCUCGCAAACCAAUGACGCAGAUGGGCUACCCUCUACUAUCGUGCCCCAUAAAAAUUGGCCAAACCUACCGCCAGUACAUUAUUCUAUCCGUACAUCACGAGAAUAGAAAAAUACGGUCGGCCAACACCGAAAAGGAAAUAGACAAGUCGAGAACACCUCGGAAAAAGAAAAUAACCAGCUCUGAACUUCUGAAUACAACCUAUAAAACGAAUAAUUAUUAUAAUCAACAUACGUAGUAAGUCUACGUCUCCAACCCCGUAUGGGGGAAAAGCUUAUUUAUUUAUUUUUUGUUCAGAAUUAUGUUCUAAUCUUAGAUGACUUCCUUGGGAGAUUCUUUGCCUUAGAUCACUUAUCCGUGCCAAAGUAAAGUGG